GAGAAAGGUUGGUCGUAAUGAAGCUUCUAACUUCUUUUACAAGCAGUUCGAUUCUGUUUAUUUCUUU
rnacentral:tRNA from 1 species